rnacentral:rRNA from 1 species
AUUGAACGCUGGCGGCAGGCUUAACACAUGCAAGUCGAGCGGAGCGAGGGUGCUUGCACCUUAGCUUAGCGGCGGACGGGUGAGUAAUGCUUAGGAAUCUGCCUAUUAGUGGGGGACAACAUUCCGAAAGGAAUGCUAAUACCGCAUACGCCCUACGGGGGAAAGCAGGGGAUCUUCGGACCUUGCGCUAAUAGAUGAGCCUAAGUCGGAUUAGCUAGUGGGUGGGGUAAAGGCCUACCAAGGCGACGAUCUGUAGCGGGUCUGAGAGGAUGAUCCGCCACACUGAGACUGAGACACGGCCCAGACUCCUACGGGAGGCAGCAGUGGGGAAUAUUGGACAAUGGGCGGAAGCCUGAUCCAGCCAUGCCGCGUGUGUGAAGAAGGCCUUUUGGUUGUAAAGCACUUUAAGCGAGGAGGAGGCUACUAGUAUUAAUACUACUGGAUAGUGGACGUUACUCGCAGAAUAAGCACCGGCUAACUCUGUGCCAGCCGCCGCAGUAAUAC